CCUACGGGGGGCAGCAGUGGGGAAUAUUGCACAAUGGGCGAAAGCCUGAUGCAGCAACGCCGCGUGAGCGAUGAAGGCCUUCGGGUCGUAAAGCUCUGUCCUUAAGGAAGAUAAUGACGGUACUUGAGGAGGAAGCCCCGGCUAAAUAGGUGCCAGCAGCCGCGGUAAUACGUAGGGGGCUAGCGUUAUCCGGAAUUACCGGGCGUAAAGGGUGCGUAGGUGGUUUCUUAAGUCAGAGGUGAAAGGUUACGGUUAAACCGUAGUAAGCCGUUGAAACUGGGGAACUUGAGUUCAGGAGAGGUGAGUGGAAUUCCUGGUGUAGCGGUGAAAUGCGUAGAUAUUAGGAAGAACACCGGUUGCGAAGGCGGCUCUCUGGACUGUAACUGACACUGAGGCACGAAAGCGUGGGGAGCAAACAGGAUUAGAUACCCGGGUAGUC
rnacentral:rRNA from 1 species